AGUGAACGCUGGCGGUAGGCCUAACACAUGCAAGUCGAACGGCAGCACAGUAAGAGCUUGCUCUUACGGGUGGCGAGUGGCGGACGGGUGAGGAAUACAUCGGAAUCUACUUUUUCGUGGGGGAUAACGUAGGGAAACUUACGCUAAUACCGCAUACGACCUACGGGUGAAAGCAGGGGAUCUUCGGACCUUGCGCGAUUGAAUGAGCCGAUGUCGGAUUAGCUAGUUGGCGGGGUAAAGGCCCACCAAGGCGACGAUCCGUAGCUGGUCUGAGAGGAUGUUCAGCCACACUGGAACUGAGACACGGUCCAGACUCCUACGGGAGGCAGCAGUGGGGAAUAUUGGACAAUGGGCGCAAGCCUGAUCCAGCCAUGCCGCGUGGGUGAAGAAGGCCUUCGGGUUGUAAAGCCCUUUUGUUGGGAAAGAAGAGCAGCAAGUUAAUACCCCGCUGUUCUGACGGUACCCAAAGAAUAAGCACCGGCUAACUUCGUG
rnacentral:rRNA from 1 species